AUCGCUUCUUCGGCUUAUUAGCUAAGAUGAAAGUGUAGUAUCUGUUCUUAUCGUAUUAACCUACGGUAUACACUCAAAUGAGUGUAAUAAAGGUUAUAUGAUUUUUGGAACCUAGGGAAGACUCGGGGCUAAGCUUUCCACCAUGGACGGGCCGUCCGAAAACGUCCGUUACCCGUC
rnacentral:snRNA from 1 species